CCUUGCUCCAUGCCAGCAGCCACAAGAGUUCUUUCAUCUUGGCUUCAAAGUGUGGAAGGGGGAGUGCAGGGAACUGCUGUUGCCACCUAGAACGUGGCAGCAGAUAUUGCAUGUACACCAGUGCAGAACUGUGAUUGAUGCAGACUUGACCAAUGUUCUACUCUACUGCUACGACUUUCCCAUUGAGAGCUUACAGGCCAUUCUCCAUUAUGUCCAACUGACCGCAGGUUGUAAUUCAAGAGAAAGUGCUCUCAGAAAAGCCUACGCAACCCUGGAACGUGACACAGUAUGAAUUCAUAUGGGUACCGGGGGACGGCUUCUGCAGGAAGGCAGAUUAGAGGCAGGCCGUGUACUCGUUCUGUAGGUGAGUGCUAGACUGUGUGUCUCUGGGUGGCCAUGCAGGAGAUUUAUUGGCUUUCUUAUUGGCGUUGGAC
rnacentral:lncRNA from 1 species